rnacentral:lncRNA from 1 species
CAAAAUGGACCCAAAUCCUCCCCAAUCCUCCCCAAAUCACCCCUCGAUGUCCCCAAAUGUCCCCCCAGGAGCACUUUGGGGUUCCCCCCCGUGUCCUGGUGUCCUGUGCCGGGAUCACCCGCGACCGGAUGUUCCUGGAGAUGGGAGAGCGGGAAUUCCGGGAGGUGCUGGGGGUGAACCUGGAGGGGACGUUCCUGGUGACACAGGAGGUGACAAAGGCCCUGGUGACAUCGGGGGACCCCGGGGGGGCCUCCCUGGUCCUCGUGGGCAGCGUGGUGGCCAAGGUGGGGAAUUUGGGCCAAACCAACUACGCGGCCUCCAAGGGGGGGGUGGAGGGGCUGACCCGGAGCGUGGCCAAGGAGGUGGCCAGGUGGGGACAUUGGGGGACAUCUGGGGACAUUUGGGGACAUUUGGGGACAUUUGGGGACAUUUGGGAGGGGACAAGGGAAAAUGGGGGGGAAAGGGAGAAAAUUGGGGGAUUUGGGGGGAAUUCGGGGGAAAAUUGGGG